rnacentral:Y_RNA from 1 species
GGCUGGUCCAGUGGUAGUAGGUUAUCAGAACUAAAUGACAUUAGCAUUACUAAAGCUGGUCCACAACCUUCCACUCCUGAAUUUGACUGGAUUAAA